GCCCGCUUAGCUCAGUGGCAGAGCGCGCCACUCGUAACACCGCUUUGUGGAGUGUGAUGGUGAGGUCAAUCGUUCAAUCCGGUUAGUGGGCA